GGGGAACGGAUAAGAACUGCGAUAUGUUCAUACAGGGAAGAUUACUCAGCAGCAAAAGGAGUGAAAUACGGUUACCUUCCACUCACUUCAUGUCAGGUGAAAGAGGCCUGACUCCAAAGGCUGUCGAGUGUACGAUUCCAUUUCUGUGACAUUCUGGGAGAGACCAAGCUCCAGGGAUGGGACCUGAUCUGUGGUCACCAGGGGUAGGCUCAUCCUGACGCCUUAUAAAGUAUGGAGGGUUCCCACAACGGAUUCUGCCGAUGGGGAAGAUGAUGCCGGAAGGAGGACAAUGACUCACUCAAAGCCACACGGCGUCUAGUGUCUUCCAAACCUGCCCCGCCCUGAUGUUAGAGUUCUCCGUGAUGAUGAUGAGGUUUCCAUGGUACCCCACGCAGAGGAGAUGCUGGACCAUGAGUGUGGCUGCUGUGGACAGGUCCUGAAGAACGUCAAAGCAGAUGAGAGCAGAAAAACAGUCCACGUCAGUUACCUUUCAUGCCCAGUUUCUAUGCUAUCUAAUUAUACUGAUGGAGUUUAUGAAUAUGUCAAAUUUUGUGUUAUGGUUUUAUACGAUUUAAAAAAAAAAAAAACAUCUGGGAGUUCCCAUUGUGGCGCAGCAGAAACAAAUCUGACUAGGAACCAUAAGGUUGCGGGUUUGAUCCCUGGCCUUGCUCAGCGGGUUGAGGAUCCGGCAUUGCUGUGAGCUGUGGUGUAGGUCUCACAGAUGCGGCUUGGAUCUGGUGUUGCUGUGGCUGUGGCGUAGGCUGGCAGCUGUAGUUUAAUUUGACCCCUAGCCUGGGAACCUCCAUAUGCUGUGAGUGUAGUCCUAAAAAAACAAACUGAAAAAAACAAAAAACAAAAAAACAACAAAACAAAACACCAUCACCCUAUGGGGUGUGGGCUGGGCUGUGGGCUGUGUGUGGAGACUUCUGACCAAGGGCUUGCUGCUGACCUGGAAGCAUGUGCAGCACGUCCAGGCACCUCCCAGGUCACCUUCACCACCACCACCUCAGCACCAGCCUUGUGCCCAUUUCACAAAGGAGAAAACAGAGGCCCGGAAAAGUUCAUCGCCUAUCACUAUUCAGCUAGUGAAGGGCAGGCUUCCAAGUCAAGUCUGUCUGUCCCAUGCCAAAGCUGAGUUCCCACCUUUGUCCCAUGGCACUGACUCCCCACAGAGACAAAAAGGGCUUAGUGGUAAAGUGACUCCGUUUCCCCUUCUGUAAAACCUGUCUCCUGGUGUCUAUGUCCCCUAAGCAGAGGCCCCCCUCUCUCACCCCUGGUCUCUGUGCCAGCCCGCAGGAGUGUCAGAGCCUUCCCUUUGGAGGAGUAAGUUCCCCCCACUUGGAAGGAGGAGUCAGUCAGACCCUCAAGGCCCCCAAGCCCCACGACUCCCCUCCUGGGGACAGCCCUGCUCUGAGAGCUGGAAGCCUUGCCCGGGCACCAGGGGGUCAGGGCCCGGCUAAGGAGCAGCACCGCUCUGCCCACGCCCAGUUGGGCAGUUCUCCAGCAGGUUGUGCAAUCUUGCUAUGAAUAGGUCUAGGUGUGUGGUUUGGUGCCAAAGAGACCAGACUUGUUUCCUUCAGUGACAGCUCCCCUCUGGAAUUCUGGGAGGUGAGGGAGCACAGCUGUGAGGUCAGGCUGCUGGCCCUGAGCAGGGCGGUCUGAGCUGGUGGCGUGAGGGGUGGAGCCUGUGGCCAGACUGGAUGGGCAGGCUGGCAGCAUGACUCUUCCGUGAGAGGGCACCAUGAUGGGUGUUCAACUUGAGUGCCCAGAGCUCUUCUCCCUCCCUGGCAGUCACCCAGCCACCCAAGCCUCUGCCAUCCCUCACUCUCACCAGGCCCUCUGACCUUAGGUAUAGACUUAAGAAGCUGGGAAGGAGACAGGAAAAGAUUUGCAAGUUAAUUGUUAAAACUUAAAAAAAAAAAAUGAGGCUGUGGGAAACCAGGGAUUCUCAUACAUCAUUGGAGGGCAAUUUGGUCCAUCUACCAAAAUUGCAAAUGCGUAUGUAUCUUUUGCCCCAAUAAUGCCACGUUUGGGCAUGAAUCCUACAAAGAUUCUGACAUGCGUAUGUAAUAAUGUGUAUAAGGUUAUUCACCGCAGUGUUGCUGAUAAAAACAAAGGUUUAGAAACAACAUCCAGUGUCUAUCAGUAGGGAUUACUGGCUAAAUGGAUCAUGAUCCAAUGAGACAGUGGAAUACUAUGCAACUCUAAAAAUGAGGAGGCUUUCUUGGAGUUCCUGUUGUGGCGCAGCAGAAAUGAAUCUGACUAGGAAUGAUGAGGUUAUGGGUUCAAUCCCUGGCCUCGCUCAGUGGGUUAAGGAUCUUGUGUUGCUGCGAGCUGUGGUGUAGGUUGCAGAGGUGGCUUGGAUCCCAUGUUGCUGUGGUUCUGGAGUAAGCUGGCAGCUGUGGCUCUGAUUUGACUCCUAGCCUGGGAACCUCCAUAUGCCACAGGUACGGCUCUAAAAAGAGAAAAAAAAGACAGUAAAUAAAUUAAUAAAAAUGAGGAGGCUUUCUAUGUAUGAUAAUUCUUCCAUGCAUGAGACAAUCAUUAGGGGAGCAAGAUACUCAACAGUGUGUGUAAUGUACUUUUUCUGUUAAAAAAAGGGGGGGAGUAAGAAUUUGUGUCUCUUAUUGCUUGUAGAUGCCUAAGAAAUUCUGGAAGGGGAGUUCCCGUCGUGGCGCAGUGGUUAACAAAUCCGACUAGGAACCAUGAGGUUGCGGGUUCGAUCCCUGCCCUUGCUCAGUGGGUUAAUGAUCUGGCGUUGCUGUGAGCUGUGGUGUAGGUUGCAGACGCGGCUCAGAUCCCGCGUUGCUGUGGCUCUGGCGUAGGCCGGUGGCUACAGCUCUGAUUCGACCUCUAGCCUGGGAACCUCCAUAUGCCGCGGGAGCGGCCCAAGAAAUAACAACAACAACAAGAAAAGACAAAAGACAAAAGACAAAAAAUAAAUAAAUAAAUAAAUAAAUAAAUAAAAUUAAAAAAAAAAAAAAAA
rnacentral:lncRNA from 9 species